AAGUCGAGGGGCAGCAUUUUAGUUUGCUUGCAAACUGAAGAUGGCGACCGGCGCACGGGUGAGUAACACGUAUCCAACCUGCCGAUAACUCCGGAAUAGCCUUUCGAAAGAAAGAUUAAUACCGGAUGGCAUACGAAUAUCGCAUGAUAUUUUUAUUAAAGAAUUUCGGUUAUCGAUGGGGAUGCGUUCCAUUAGUUUGUUGGCGGGGUAACGGCCCACCAAGACUACGAUGGAUAGGGGUUCUGAGAGGAAGGUCCCCCACAUUGGAACUGAGACACGGUCCAAACUCCUACGGGAGGCAGCAGUGAGGAAUAUUGGUCAAUGGGCGCGAGCCUGAACCAGCCAAGUAGCGUGAAGGAUGAAGGCUCUAUGGGUCGUAAACUUCUUUUAUAUGGGAAUAAAGUUUUCCACGUGUGGAAUUUUGUAUGUACCAUAUGAAUAAGGAUCGGCUAACUCCGUGCCAGCAGCCGCGGUAAUACGGAGGAUCCGAGCGUUAUCCGGAUUUAUUGGGUUUAAAGGGAGCGUAGGUGGAUUGUUAAGUCAGUUGUGAAAGUUUGCGGCUCAACCGUAAAAUUGCAGUUGAAACUGGCAGUCUUGAGUACAGUAGAGGUGGGCGGAAUUCGUGGUGUAGCGGUGAAAUGCUUAGAUAUCACGAAGAACUCCGAUUGCGAAGGCAGCUCACUAGACUGUUACUGACACUGAUGCUCGAAAGUGUGGGUAUCAAACAGGAUUAGAUACCCUGGUAGUCCACACAGUAAACGAUGAAUACUCGCUGUUUGCGAUAUACAGUA
rnacentral:rRNA from 1 species